rnacentral:rRNA from 1 species
GACGAACGCUGGCGGCGUGCCUAAUACAUGCAAGUAGAACGCACAGUUUAUACCGUAUCUUGCUACACCAUAGACUGUGAGUUGCGAACGGGUGAGUAACGCGUAGCUAACCUUUCUGGUAGCGGGGGAUAACUAUUGUAAACGUUAGCUAAUACCGCAUAAUAUUGUUUAUUGCUUGAUAAUUGAUUGAAAGAUGCUAUUGCAUCACUACCAUCUGGACCUGUGUUGUGUUAGCUAGUAGGUGAGGGAAAGGCUCACCUAGGCGAGGACACAUAGCCGAGCUGAGAGGGUGGUCAGCCACACUGGGAAGGAGACACGGCCCAGAAUCCUUAGGGAGGCAGCCAGAGGGAAACUUGGGGAAUGGGCGGGAAUCUGGACGCACAAGGCCGCGGGAGGGAAGAAGGUUUUCGGGUCGUAAAGGUCUGUUGUAAGAGAAGAAAAGGUGUGAGGGUGGAAAGUUGAGACUGUGACGGUACCUAAACAAAAAGGACCGGCUAACUACGUG